AGAUGUGAGAGCAGUUUGGCUGAGACAUCUGUUGCCCCUUUGUUCGUCAGGGUUGAUUCUACUAAUCUGAUUGGUGGGGCAGAUAGCCCCCUUCCUCCCUCACUGUUCCCUGUGCACCCCUCCUCCCUGAGGCUGCACAGGUGGAAACACUGGCAAAUAAACAGGAAGGGAAGGCAUCGUCUUGGGAGAGUUGGUUUAAGGAAAGAGCAGAGAGGAAGGGGAAAGAGGUGCCUGGGACCAAGUUUUAGGGAACUUCAACAUUAAAUAGCUAAGUGGCAGAGAGU
rnacentral:sRNA from 1 species